AAAUGGCCCAUAGUUAUUGUAAGCCCGAUCCAUCUCUUCCUUCCUCCUCCUCCUUCUCCUCCUCCUCCUACUCCAACAGAGCGAUGGAAAAUGAAAAUGAAGCAGCAGCACGGAAGAAGAGCUUCGAUUACAAAGCACCGUCGGAGCAACAGGGAAGCCAUGGGAGCAACACGCAGCCGUCAUAACUCAUAAGCAUACCUUGCUUCGAUUACACAGUACCGUCUGCGCUACUUCAGCGCUUUUACUCUGGCUUCAUCGUUACCUGCUCCAUCAGUGCGUUCUCCUUCCUUAUUACUUACUCUUCCACUGAUUAUGGACAGGGAAAAAAAGUGCGACGAAAGAAGUAAUGUCCAUCCUUGAAAAGUUUUUGUAUGAUGGUGCAGACAUUGCUUGGUUUAGGAGGUAUCCAAUUUUGAAACCGGGGUUCAAGCUAUUUAUCCAAUGCCAUCAUAGAAGACGUUUUAAUUUUAAGGAAAAGUUUACUUGAUGAUCAUUAGGUUUUUCAUAUAGAUAUGGCCCUAUUUAUCUCUGUUCUUAUGUUUCAUCAGGUUGGAGAUUUUUAAUGAUUUUCUGCUUUGUUUGGGAUAUUUUAUGAUCUAAUAGCAUUUAAAUUCGACUUGUGUUCCUAGUUCUUAAAGCUUUAUGAAUCCUUCUAUCGGAAAGAGUUUUUUUUCUUUUUUGGAAUUGUAGGUUUAUUAGGACUUGUAAAGAUCUAUGCAUGUGUCUAUGUAAUUCAAGAAUUCUUAGACUUAGUUAUUAUACUAGUUUCUCAUUUACUGCCUGCAUAUGAUACCAUAUAAUUUUUGUUUGAUGAUUUGAGUAGUUAUUCCAAUGCAUUGUCUUUAUUAAAAACUUAUCAGAAAGUUUUCAAUGUUGAAAUCAAGUGUCUGAUUGUCACCAUAGUUAUUAAAUACUAAAGACGCACUAAGGCGCCAAGGGGUCUUGGAGCCCAGGCGCAAGGCGCAAAGCACAGGCGUGCGCCGCUGAAUGAGGUGAGGCGCAAAAGUAAAAAAUAUUUAAAAAAUUCAUAAAAGUCAAAUAAAUGUAAUGUUUUUUCUUUUCCUUUAGCAUAUAUCUUGAAAUAGGUGUUGAUGUAAAUUUUUUUUAAAAAAAGAUAAUAAUAGAGUGCUAGUGUUGAAAAUGGAAAUAUCGGAGGUUUAUGAAAUUGGGUAUACUAGUUUGAUAAAAUUUUGACGACUAGUUAUCACCAGCAAUACUAAUUUCAAAAACUUCAUAGUAUGUCAAUAUAGGAUUUCUAUAAAUCAACAAAUAUUAAGUUUAAGUGGUAGUCCUUUUUGGCAAUGAAAAUGCUCGCUAAAUGUGAAAAUAAAUAAGGUAUGCCUUUCUAGAAUUUUGCUCCUAGAACAAAGGUGCACGCCUAAGCGUAUAAGGCGCUAGGGUUCGAACCUUAUGAGCCUUGAGCCUGAGGCAUGUUAGAGGUGCGCCUUUAAUAACUAUGAUUGUCACUGGGACCUUUCUAUGAGACUUUCUCUGGUUUCACUUCUUUGGUAGAAUGAAUUUGUGACUUAAUCAUGGCCUUUUAACUUAUCUAGGUGUUCUUCUGGAGGGCAAUACUCAUUCAGUUGCAUUUUUCAAUCUCACGGUUAGGAAGGUUUCUGAGUAUUAGAUUUUGGAAAGGUGCUGAUAACUUAAAUGAACUUCAAGAGUGUAUCAGUUUUCUGCUUUCUCAUUUUAAAAGUGUUCAUUUGAAAAGGUAUCUUUAUCAUUUUAUUGGGUCCAUGAGCUGACAUUUUCUUCCACAUAUUUUCGAAUUUGGACUCCCUUGAUAGGAAAAGAUGUUGAUAUAUUUUUAACUUGAUUAUGGGCGGAAGGCCUUCUGGGCUUUUUGCUUGAUGAAUUAGGUGACUACUUGAGUACACCUUCAUUCUGUUCUCUUGGAGUUUCAUCUGUGAUAUAACAUGUAAUGAGAGAUCACAUAUUAGAAAUAUAUUUUGCUGUCAGUGCUAAUACUUUGAUUUUUCUAGUUCUUUUAUAGUAUAUAGGGUCCUAUAACUGUGGGGCCUCUGAAUCUUUGGAAAGCUCCAACGCAAGCCAGAGCACUAAGAGUAGGGAAACACAGAUUGAUGUAAUAAGUGGAAUAUGUGCUGAAGACACAAAAAGUAAAAGCAUUGGUGAGGACACGGAUGGCCUUUCAAAAGAGAUGGAUACGAUAGAAGAAAAAGGUUCUGUUCUUUCCCUGGUCAAGUUGACAGGGAAUGGUUUGCUUAGUCUGAGAUUUGCCAGAGAAAGUUCUCCUGACACUGUUGUUAUAGUAUCAAAUAUUUUUCAGUGUCUGGAAUCUGGGAGUCUAAGGUCACCUCUUUGGUGUCAUCGCAUUUUCCCAAUCCAAGCUACAUGUCAUUUGGAUGAGAAGGAACAACCAACAGUUGUACCAAAUCUUGUUCUUCAAUUCACGAAUGACAAGCGAAACAAAAGCAGCACAUCAUAUAAAGGUACAAGUUUUAUUUUUGUAAUUACUGUGGAUGGUUGAGCAGUGCUAGAACCUGUGGAAGAAACUAAAGCAUAACAAAUAAGACUGACAUACUCUUCUUUUCUGGUGUUUCCUCAGCAGCCAAACAGAUUUAUAUUAGAAGAUAAAACUUAAGAAUUUGUAUUAGAAAUUUCAAACUUUUACCAUUAAAUGGCUGUUUCGAACGGCCAGCUUUUUACGGAGCUGGGAAGGUGAACUCCUAGUCGUAGUAUCACCUCACUGUAAUAAGAAAAUAAUAUUAAAAAAUAUAACAAGACAAUUUUUUUUUU